CAGCAGCCGCGGUAAUACCAGCUCUCCGAGUGGUAGGGAUGAUUAUUGGGCUUAAAGCGUCCGUAGCCUGCUUAGCAAGUCUCCUGUUAAAUUCAGCGACCUAAUCGUUGAGCCGCGGGAGAUACUACUAGGCUAGGAGGCGGGAGAGGUCGACGGUACUUCUGGGGUAGGGGUGAAAUCCUAUAAUCCCGGGAGGACCACCAGUGGCGAAGGCUGUCGACUAGAACGCGCUCGACGGUGAGGGACGAAAGCUGGGGGAGCGAACCGGAUUAGAUACCCGGGUAGUCCCAGCCGUAAACGAUGCGGGCUAGGUGUUGGGGUGGCUACGUGCCACUUCAGUGCCGCAGGGAAGCCAUUAAGCCCGCCGCCUGGGGAGUACGGCCGCAAGGCUGAAACUUAAAGGAAUUGGCGGGGGAGCACCACAAGGCGUGAAGCUUGCGGUUCAAUUGGAGUCAACGCCGGGAACCUUACCGGGGGCGACAGCAGUAUGAUGGCCAGAUUGAAGGUCUUGCUUGACAAGCUGAGAGGAGGUGCAUGGCCGUCGCCAGUUCGUGCCGUGAGGUGUCCUGUUAAGUCAGGCAACGAUCGAGACCCGCACCCCUAGUUGCUACUGAGGAAGUUUUCCGAGGGGCACUCUAGGGGGACUGCCGUCGACAAGACGGAGGAAGGAGCGGGCUACGGCAGGUCAGUAUGCCCCGAAUCCCCCGGGCUACACGCGAGCUGCAAUGGCAGGUACAAUGAGUCCCAACCCUGGAAAGGGAAGGCAAUCUCGAAACCCUGCCUCAGUUUGGAUCGAAGGCUGGAACCCGCCUUCGUGAAAAUGGAAUGCCUAGUAAUCGCGUGUCAUCAACGCGCGGUGAAUACGUCCCUGCCCCUUGCACAC
rnacentral:rRNA from 1 species